GUGGGGAAUAUUGGACAAUUGGGGCAACCCUGAUCCAGCAAUGCCGCGUGAGUGAGGAAGGCCUUCGGGUUGUAAAGCUCUUUUGUGAGGGACGAUAAUGACGGUACCUCACGAAUAAGCCCCGGCUAACUUCGU
rnacentral:rRNA from 1 species